GUCGUCGCGAGGCGGGGUCUGGAGGAAGCCCAAUCCGAGGCUGCGGGGCGAUGAACAAAAACCGGAUAUGAGGCGUGAUGCAUCCGGGACGAGCGGGCACGUGACCGCGAAGCCCUCCAUCCAUCUGCGGUUGUUGGGAUGCACUUUGUAAAUCCGGCGGCAGCGCAGAAAGUGACGUGU
rfam:Acidithiobacillus sp. GGI-221 contig_248, whole genome shotgun sequence.